rnacentral:rRNA from 1 species
AGUGAACGCUGGCGGCAGGCCUAAUACAUGCAAGUCGAACGGCAGCACAGCAGAGCUUGCUCUGUGGGUGGCGAGUGGCGGACGGGUGAGGAAUACAUGGGAAUCUGCCCAGUCGUGGGGGAUAACGUAUGGAAACGUACGCUAAUACCGCAUGCGCCCUACGGGGGAAAGCCGGGGACCGCAAGGCCUGGCGCGAUUGGAUGAGCCCAUGUUCGAUUAGCUAGUUGGCGGGGUAAAGGCCCACCAAGGCGACGAUCGAUAGCUGGUCUGAGAGGAUGAUCAGCCACACUGGAACUGAGACACGGUCCAGACUCCUACGGGAGGCAGCAGUAGGGAAUAUUGGACAAUGGGGGCAACCCUGAUCCAGCCAUGCCGCGUGAGUGAAGAAGGCCCUCGGGUUGUAAAGCUCUUUGUCCGGAAAGAAAGCAUCUGGUUAAUACCCGGUUGUUCUGACGGUACCGGAAGAAUAAGCACCGGCUA